rnacentral:rRNA from 1 species
UACGUAGGGUGCGAGCGUUGUCCGGAAUUAUUGGGCGUAAAGAGCUUGUAGGCGGUUUGUCGCGUCUGCUGUGAAAAUCCGGGGCUCAACCCCGGACUUGCAGUGGGUACGGGCAGGCUAGAGUGUGGUAGGGGAGACGUGGAAUUCCUGGUGUAGCGGUGAAAUGCGCAGAUAUCAGGAGGAACACCGGUGGCGAAGGCGGGUCUCUGGGCCGUAACUGACGCUGAGGAGCGAAAGCAUGGGGAGCGAACAGG